AAUGACACAGUAAAGGGAUCUGAUCUUCUACAUGAAACAAAAGUAGAUUAGGAAAGAGCAAAUGGACCUAUUUCACAGCAGUCUCACGAUAAGGCACAGAACGAUCUCACCUGGGAAGAUGCUGCAUGCGGACUCGCGAGCAGGAAGUGUUAUGGUAAUCAUAUGUCCAGGAUUACCUGGCCCAGGCUUGAUUUACUCUAAAUCUGUUUUUUUUCAAUAACACAGUACUAACAAAAAGCCGAGGAUCAGAAGAAGAGGUGUCUGGUGAAUUCAGCUUUCUGACUUGGAUGACCAAAUGGUAAUGAAGAUCAAACGUUCUCUUAAAGAAAGCUUCAUUUCUUGGAAAUCCUCACUUAUUUGUGUUCUACUUUUGUGAGAUUACAAAACCAACCAACCAAAAGGC